rnacentral:rRNA from 1 species
GACGAACGCUGGCGGCGUGCUUAACACAUGCAAGUCGAACGAAGAGCGAUGGAAGCUUGCUUCUAUCAAUCUUAGUGGCGAACGGGUGAGUAACGCGUAAUCAACCUGCCCUUCAGAGGGGGACAACAGUUGGAAACGACUGCUAAUACCGCAUACGAUCUAAUCUCGGCAUCGAGGAUGGAUGAAAGGUGGCCUCUAUUUAUAAGCUAUCACUGAAGGAGGGGAUUGCGUCUGAUUAGCUAGUUGGAGGGGUAACGGCCCACCAAGGCGAUGAUCAGUAGCCGGUCUGAGAGGAUGAACGGCCACAUUGGGACUGAGACACGGCCCAGACUCCUACGGGAGGCAGCAGUGGGGAAUCUUCCGCAAUGGACGAAAGUCUGACGGAGCAACGCCGCGUGAGUGAUGACGGCCUUCGGGUUGUAAAGCUCUGUUAAUCGGGACGAAAGGCCUUCUUGCGAAUAGUUAGAAGGAAUGAC